UACGUAGGUGGCAAGCGUUGUCCGGAUUUACUGGGCGUAAAGGGCGUGCAGGCGGUUUGUUAAGUCUAGGGUGAAAGCUCCCGGCUCAACUGGGAGAGGUCCUUGGAUACUGGCAGACUUGAGGAGGGUAGAGGAGAGUGGAAUUCCCGGUGUAGCGGUGAAAUGCGUAGAUAUUGGGAGGAACACCAGUGGCGAAGGCGGCUCACUGGACCGGAACUGACGCUGAGGCGCGAAAGCGUGGGGAGCAAACAGG
rnacentral:rRNA from 1 species